GACGAACGCUGGCGGCGUGCCUAAUACAUGCAAGUUGAGCGCUGAAGGUUGGUACUUGUACCAACUGGAUGAGCAGCGAACGGGUGAGUAACGCGUGGGGAAUCUGCCUUUGAGCGGGGGACAACAUUUGGAAACGAAUGCUAAUACCGCAUAAAAACUUUAAACACAAGUUUUAAGUUUGAAAGAUGCAAUUGCAUCACUCAAAGAUGAUCCCGCGUUGUAUUAGCUAGUUGGUGAGGUAAAGGCUCACCAAGGAGAUGAUACAUAGCCGACCUGAGAGGGUGAGCGGCCACAUUGGGACGGAGACACGGCCCAAACUCAUAGGGGAGGCAGCAGGAGGGAAUCUUCGGCAAUGGACGAAAGUCUGACCGAGAAACGCCGAGUGAGUGAAGAAGGGUUUCGGAUCGUAAAACUCUGUUGGUAGAGAAGAACGUUGGUGAGAGUGGAAAGCUCAUCAAGUGACGGUAACUACCCAGAAAGGGACGGCUAACUACGUG
rnacentral:rRNA from 1 species